CGCACACCGCUCGGGGGCCCGUGGACGCGGGCUGAGAGGGCAGGACGACCUGCCGACCGACUGAACCUGUCCGGUUAACACCGACGUAGGGAGCAUUGCAAUCAUGACU
rnacentral:ncRNA from 2 species